AUACUUUCCCCAACUUUGAGCAUCUGGCAUAUUGGCAGAUACAGUUCAACAAUAUAGCUGCUGUCACAGUAUUUUUUGUCUGGAUUAAGCUCUUCAAAUUCAUCAAUUUUAACAGGACCAUGAGCCAGCUCUCGACAACCAUGUCUCGAUGUGCCAAAGACCUGUUUGGCUUUGCUAUUAUGUUCUUCAUUAUUUUCCUAGCAUAUGCUCAGUUGGCAUACCUUGUCUUUGGCACUCAGGUCGAUGACUUCAGUACUUUCCAAGAGUGUAUAAUAUGUUUUUGGCCAUCAUCAAUGAUACUUACUCUGAAGUGAAAUCUGACUUGGCACAGCAGAAAGCUGAAAUGGAACUCUCAGAUCUUAUCAGAAAGGGCUACCAUAAAGCUUUGGUCAAACUAAAACUGAAAAAAAAUACCGUGGAUGACAUUUCAGAGAGUCUGCGGCAAGGAGGAGGCAAGUUAAACUUUGACGAACUUCGACAAGAUCUCAAAGGGAAGGGCCAUACUGAUGCAGAGAUUGAGGCAAUAUUCACAAAGUACGACCAAGAUGGAGACCAAGAGCUGACCGAACAUGAACAUCAACAGAUGAGAGACGACUUGGAGAAAGAGAGGGAGGACCUGGAUUUGGAUCACAGUUCUUUACCACGUCCCAUGAGCAGCCGAAGUUUCCCUCGAAGCCUGGAUGACUCUGAGGAGGAUGAUGAUGAAGAUAGCGGACAUAGCUCCAGAAGGAGGGGAAGCAUUUCCAGUGGCGUUUCUUACGAAGAGUUUCAAGUCCUGGUGAGACGAGUGGACCGGAUGGAGCAUUCCAUCGGCAGCAUAGUGUCCAAGAUCGACGCCGUAAUUGUGAAGCUAGAGAUUAUGGAGCGAGCCAAACUGAAGAGGAGGGAGGUGCUGGGAAGGCUGUUGGAUGGGGUGGCCGAGGAUGAAAGGCUGGGUCGUGACAGUGAAAUCCAUAGGGAACAGAUGGAACGGCUAGUGCGUGAAGAGUUGGAACGCUGGGAAUCCGAUGAUGCAGCUUCCCAGAUCAGUCAUGGUUUAGGCACGCCCGUGGGACUAAAUGGUCAGCCUCGCCCCAGAAGCUCCCGCCCAUCUUCCUCCCAGUCUACAGAAGGCAUGGAAGGUGCAGGUGGAAAUGGGAGUUCUAAUGUCCACGUAUGAUAUGUGUGUUUUAGUAUGUGUGUUUCUAAUAAGUGAGGAAGCAGCUGUCCUGAAUUGCUGUAACGAGCACACUAUUUAUAUGCCCUGACCACCAUAGAAUGCUAGUCUUUGUGACCGAUUGCUAAUCUUCUGCACUUUAAUUUAUUUUAUAUAAACUUUACCCAUGGUUCAAAGAUUUUUUUUCUUUUUCUCAUGUAAGAAA
rnacentral:sRNA from 1 species